rnacentral:rRNA from 1 species
CCUACGGGGUGCAGCAGUAGGGAAUAUUGCUCAAUGGGGGAAACCCUGAAGCAGCAACGCCGCGUGGAGGAUGAAGGUUUUCGGAUUGUAAACUCCUUUUGUUAGAGAAGAUAAUGACGGUAUCUAACGAAUAAGCACCGGCUAACUCCGUGCCAGCAGCCGCGGUAAUACGGAGGGUGCAAGCGUUACUCGGAAUCACUGGGCGUAAAGAGCGCGUAGGCGGGAUAGCAAGUCAGAUGUGAAAUCCUAGGGCUUAACCAUAGAACUGCAUUUGAAACUGUUAUUCUAGAGUAUGGGAGAGGUAGGUGGAAUUCUUGGUGUAGGGGUAAAAUCCGUAGAGAUCAAGAGGAAUACUCAUGGCGAAGGCGACCUGCUAGAACAUAACUGACGCUGAUGCGCGAAAGCGUGGGGAGCAAACAGGAUUAGAUACCCUUGUAGUC